rnacentral:lncRNA from 1 species
GUCUUUCCACGGUUCACUCCGAGAGGAUGACAGAGUGGAGAGGGAGUGGGGAAACUCACCAGAAACUCACUCUCAAAAAUUGACAGUAUUCUCAACAGUGAUUAUUAUCUCUUCGUGCAGCUUCUCUCCUGUUUGCAAUUUCCAGCACAAGUCCCCCCUCCACCUUCCGGUAACCCACCCCGAUAGUCACUCUCCCACUCUCCACUCAGCCCACUCACCGAGCUCAGGAUGAGCUGCUGGGUUUUAGGGUGGUCAUGUGACCUGGCCUGGCCAAUCCGCUGGCGAAUCCCCCAGAUCGGGAAGUGGUUCUGGAUGCACCCAUGACAAGAGUCCAAGCAGAGUGAAUCCCAUCUCUGGAGCAGGUGUGGCUGGGAGAGAUGAUUCCCGGGGGCAGGUGCUGCUGGAUGUCGACCCAACAGCGUCCUGCCCCUUGUUGCUGCCAGCACAGCACAGCCCCCAGUCUAGAGGGAGCCAUUUACUUGCUUUCCCAUCGUCCUUUGCAUGGACAAGAAAUGUAUCUGGCUUGGGAACUUCUGGAAGCCCCUUUAUCACUCCAAAG